rnacentral:tRNA from 1 species
UGGGCGGUCGCCAAGCGGUAAGGCACGGGUCUUUGGCACCCGCAUGCGUAGGUUCGAUCCCUACCCGCCCAG